GACAUAUGGGGUGUAACCGAGUUGGAACUCGAUGUGAUCACUGUUUCACAUUGCCAUUAGGAUAGAUUUUCCUUUUGUGCACAAUUACCUCUUUCCAGGAAUUGCUUCCUUUGUAUUGCUCAGUUUGAGCCACACCUUUUCAAUCAAUAAAAUGCAUAUUCAGUCAAAUAAUUUUGUUUUUGUUUUCAUUACCGCUUUGAUUGCAAAAACAUCCAUUUAUUUUGAUAAAGAAUCUCUGCAUUUCGAAACAUGGAGAUCCCUCCCAAUGCAUGUUUAUAAGAUUGAAAACUUGAAAUCUUAUUUGAAAGGUUGAGUGACCC
rnacentral:lncRNA from 1 species